CCAACUGUGAGGAAAUGACAGCAGGGGAAAUUUUCUCCCAACCCCUCAGCCAGCUCUUUGGGUCUACAGUGGUUGGUGUUGCUGAUGUGCCUGUUAAGCCUAUUCUAUUUAGCAUUCAGAGGUAAGGGAAGAUUGGCUUGGAUAACUAUCGUAGCAGGGCGUCCCCGGAGUGGUGAUAAUUAGCAUUGACUCCAUGAUUCCAGAAGGCUGAUCAAUCGCUUUAUUAUAUUAUACUAUACUAUACUACUAAGAAACACUCAUCACUCUUGCAGACAGUCCGAUACAGACAGACCAGAUUGGUUGAUUGAAAUCCAAACACCGUCACCACUGGCCAAUUAAGAAAUCACCCUUUGGUAAACAAAUCUCCAUAACACAUUCCACAUAUGCACAACAACAGGUGCAGCAAGUGAAGAUAAGAAUUGUUUCUCAUUCUUUUCUCUGAGCUUUCUUACAGCUUCUCACAGCUUCCCAGGAAAAUCCUGGGAGAGCUCUCUCUCUCUGUUCAGAGGAUAUGUGAUUACCACAGGUCAGUUGUGACAAUGCAGGUCCAAGGACACCACGGUGACACUACGGAACCUCAUGGAACCAAGGGGCCAUUGUGACACUGUGGUGCCUCAUGGAAUCAAGGAGACAUUGUGAAACUCGGGGGCCCCAAGGAACCAAGGGUCCAUGGUGACCUUGUGGAGCCCGCAGUGUCACAGAGGAGCCGUUGUGACACAGCGAGGGCGCACGGAGCCGAGGGGCCAUUGUGACACAUCAGGGCUUUGUGGAACCACAAAGCCAUUGUGACAUUGCAAGGCCUCAUGGAAGCACGGGGCCAUUGUGACACUGCAGAAGCAAGGGGGACAUUGUGACACUCCAGGGCCUCAUGGAACCAAGGAGACCAUUGUGACACUGUGGGGUCCCACGAAACCAAGGGAACAUGGAACAGGUCUGGCUGGCUGGGCCUCCUGGGGACCACCUGACAUGUCUGGCUGACCUUGGCAUGUCGAGGGCUGCUUCUCACCUGCCCCUGAAGCACUGGGGCUCUGGGCUUUCCUUCCUAUGGGAGAGAACUCUCCUUCUCCAGGGGCCUAUGGCCGAAAGUGGGAUUGCUUCUCCAAGUUUCGUUGUAUGCAAGGAUUGUUCCCAGCCAAAAUCUGCCACUACCAUCAAGUCGGGCCACCCUUGGUCUCUGGUGGCUGCCCCUGCCACACUGGGGCUGGGUUCUUUCCUUCCCAUGGAGAUCCCUGUGACACUGUGGGGACCUCAUGGAACCAAGGGGAUCAUUGUGGCACCACUGGAGCCCAUGGAACCAAGGGGCCAUGGUGACACAGCGGGGCUUCAUGGACCCAGAGACCAUUAUGACUCUGUGGGGCCUGAUGGAACCAUGGAGGCCAUUAGGACCCUUCAGGGCCUCGUGUCACCAAGGGGGCAUUGUGACACCUCAGGGCCUCCUGGAAGCAAGGGACCAUUGGGACACUGUGGGGUCCCAUGGAACCGAGGGAACAUGGAACAGGUCUGGCUGGCUUGGCCUCCCAGGGGCCACCUGACAGGUCUGGCUGAUCUUGGAAUGCCAAAGGGUGCCUCUCAUCAGCUCCUGGAGCACUGGGGCUCCGUGCUUUCCUUGCUAUGGGAAAGAACUGACCCUCUUUUCAGAUGCCCAUUGCCAAAAUUGGUACCCUCUCUAAAAAAUUUCCUAUUUCUAAGGGUAUCUCUCAGAACAAAAACUGCCAGCUCUGGCUGGGCUUGGCCUCUGGUGGUCACCUCUCAUCUGCCCCUGAAACAGAGGGACUCUGUUCCUUCGUUGCUGCAGAAAAAAGCAGCCUUCUUGCCAAGGGACCAUGGCCAAAAUUAGAAUUUGGCCUCCCAAAUUCCAUUUAUCCAAGGAUUGCUCCCUAACAAAAGUAGACAGGACAGACACUGGCCCUGUCCUCUGGUGAUUUUCUUAGACUAUGAGCUGAAUGUUUUCAUUUGAAAACUCCUUGGAGAGCACCCAGAGAUCUCCCAAGGUGGGGUUCUGAGGCCUCAGGCACAUGACCACUACAUAUGGACAAAGGAGCUCUGUGCUCUGUGCUGUUGUGGUGGUUUUGCAUCACACAAGUGAUGUCCUGAGAGAAGCUGCUAGCAGUUUCCUCCGUGUCUGACAAAAAAAACCAAUCAGUAAUUAGCUUUGAGAGCUGACAAUCUCUUAAACCACUAAGGAAACUGCAAACACCUCUGUGAAGACACAAGUUAAAGAGGAAGAAGCCUGGCUGGGUCUCUUUCCCUUCUGGCCAGCACAGAGGUGCCAAGGCCGGGCCAGCCCCCGUCUGGGCCGGGGCGGGCCGGGCGGCUCCUGCCGUGGGGCCGGGCCCCUUCCCAGGGAGCCCGCCAGGCCCCAUCGGCUGCCGGGCAGGGGAGGGGAGGCCGCGGGGCCGAGGCCGGGCCGGGCCGUGGCUGCGCUUGCUGACAUCUGGCCGCUGCCGAGCCCUGCCCCGCCGCCAGCCCGGGCCCAGCCAGGAUCCGCCGGGCCCCAGGAGCAGCCCCGGGCCGGGCCGGCUGGGCCAAGCUUCUGCCGCCCUUGGGCUUGGCCCGCAACCAGCGGGCAGGGCCAGGAGAAGCCCUCGGCCCCGGCCGUGCUGCUGCUCUGCUCUGGCCUGGCUGCUGAGAUCCUGGCCCUGCCCCCAGCGCCGCCCAGCCUGACACAGCCCCAGCGCAGCCGCUGCACAAACCUCCAUGGGAAAACAGCUCCGGCCGCAAGGACCCAGCCCGGCCGGGCUCACGCAACCAUCUGCAGGCCCCGCCUGAGAUAUUGACUCUUCCCGUGCUUCCAUCCUCCCUCCAGUGAGAGAAAAGGACAAAGUGCAGGCACACACAGGAGCAACGUGAAGACACCGAGGUGCCCAUGUGCAGCCACAGCAAAUGUCCAACAGCAGCUCCAUCAGCCACUUCCUCCUACUGGCACUGGCAGAGACGCGGCAGCUGCAGCUCCUGCACUUCUGUCUCUUGCUGGGCAUCUCCCUGGCUGCCCUCCUGGGCAACGGCCUCAUCAUCAGCGCCGUAGCCUGCGGCCACCACCUGCACACGCCCAUGUUCUUCUUCCUGCUCAACCUGGCCCUCAGCGACCUGGGCUCCAUCUGCACCACUGUCCCCAAAGCCAUGCACAAUUCCCUCUGGGACACCAACACCAUCUCCUACACUGGGUGUGCUGCACAGCUCUUUUUUUUGUCUUUUUCAUCUCAGCAGAGAUUUCCCUCUUGACCAUCAUGUGCUACGACCGCUACGUGUCCAUCUGCAAACCCCUGCACUACGGGACCCUCCUGGGCAGCAGAGCUUGUGCCCACAUGGCAGCAGCUGCCUGGGCCAGUGCCUUUCUCAAUGCUCUCAUGCACACGGCCAAUACAUUUUCCCUGCCCCUGUGCCAGUGCAAUGCCCUGGGCCAGUUCUUCCGUGAGGUGCCCCAGAUCCUCAAGCUCUCCUGCUCCAAAUCCUACCUCAGGGAACUUGGGCUCAUUGCAGUUAGUGUGUGUUUGGCAUUUGGUUGUUUUGUGUUCAUUGUUUUCUCCUAUGUGCAGAUCUUCAGGGCUGUGCUGAGGAUCCCCUCUGAGCAGGGACGGCACAAAGCCUUUUCCACCUGACUCCCUCACCUGGCCGUCGUCUCUCUGUUUAUCAGCACUGGGGCAUUUACCUACCUGAAGCCCUCCUCCAUCUCCUCCCCAUCCCUGGAUCUGGCCCUGUCAGUUCUGUACUCGGUGGUGCCUCCAGCCCUGAACCCCCUCAUCUACAGCCUGAGGAACCAGGAGCUCAAGGCUGCAGUGUGGAGACUGAUGACUGGAUGCUUUCAGAAAUGUUAAACUGCUGGCCAAUUUCUGCCAAUCAUUUGUAAUAAAAGUAAUCUUUGAUA